CUGAAAGCAUCUAAGCGGGAAGCGAGCCCUGAGAUGAGUCAUCCCUGACCCCUUGAGGGUCCUAAAGGGCCGUUGGAGACCACAACGUUGAUAGGUGGGGUGUGUAAGCGCGGCGACGUGUUGAGCUAACCCAUACUAAUUACCCGUGAGGCUUAACCAUACAACACCCAAGAAGUGUUCU
rnacentral:rRNA from 1 species